rnacentral:lncRNA from 1 species
AUCAGGCAGGCAGGUCACACAAGAUGCUCACCACAGACUUCCAGGUCCUUAGAACAGAUGAAAAUUUCUUGGCAGUAGCAAUAAAAUAGUAUUAUCGACAUAUUCCAUGAAUAUGUCUGAAGAAGAGAGGGGAUAUAUUUUAAAAUAAAUUUUCCAUCUGUCAGCCUAAACAUGCAUCACCAGCAUCACUUGCUGCCAAUGAUCCAGGAAGACAUGGUUUACUCUCAUCUCAGAGUACUAGCAGAGACUCUGCUUUAGAUGAUGUGCACUUUUUUCUGCAAAUUAAGUAUAUCCAUUCAGAUGCCUGCACUUAGCUAACACAAAAGCUGAAACAAAGGCCCCACACCCACAUCUCCCUGGGGUUCACACAGACGAGACUUGCAGUGCUCCUUGGGAUAAGACAAGUCACUUGCCACCAAAGAAGUGAAUUUCUUUUAAGAAUCUUGCGCUUUCUAAGUAAUGGGAAUCCCUGCAAUAAUUAGUUCCUUUUCUUCCAUAGAAGAAAGGGAUAAAGGAUUUUAAUUAUGCAAUUCUGACAGUGACUGUGGUAAUUAUAUCCCUGCAAUGCAUAACAGAUUAUUUUCACAGAUGAGGUCGAUUUUAUUAAAAAACAGUUUCAGGAUUUGUUUUCAACAGCAUUGUAGACUUGAAAAAACCACCAUGUUUACAGAAGAAGCAGGGGAGACCUGAAACAAAUUAGCACUUUGAUUAAAUUCUGUCCAUGCCAAAAACUUUUCUCCUAAUGCCAAGUGAGGAAGAAGAUAUUUACUGUUUAUGUUCAUCAAAAGAGUCCCCUGCAAGCCCAGAUAACAGCAGGAGAAUGUGCAUUCAGGGCCUGACCUUGAGCUCGCUGAAACCAAAAGGAAAAAAAGCACUGACCUUCAGUUGACCAAGAGGGACACAGUUCAAAGAGAUCAACAAGACCAAAAGGGAAACAAGGUGAGCACCUUCUCCCCAUCCUGAGCUGGUCAAUUGGUUUAGAAACUUUUUUCCCCUUUACUGGGAAUAAGCUAGGAACCAUUUCUGACUUAGUGAGUAGAAAGGUCAUAGCAUACCGUGCUUUAACUAAUAGACCUGUCUUUAUAGACACUGGUAAAAGCUGCUCUUCUAUGACUACAAUUUGAGCAGCUUGAAGUCACUUAUUCUUCUACCACAUAUUCUCAAAUGCCUUCCCAGCCCUCUAUCUUCUACCAGGUAAAUAUCUUUGUACCUUUUGCAAGUUGAUUCAAUCUUCUUUUUUUAUUUGCUUUUAAAUCCACAGUAAGUAGAUGUUCCUUACCUCAUCUCACUGCAUUUUAAAUUGAUUUAUUAUUUCAAAUAGGAGAAAAUAGUUCCAACAGG